rnacentral:rRNA from 1 species
UCUCUGUCCAAGCUACCAAGGGUCAACGGUGGAUGCCUUGGCGCCAGGAGCCGAUGAAGGACGUGGCAGGCUGCGAUAAGCCCCGGCGAGCUGUCAAGCAAGCUUCGACCCGGGGAUGUCCGAAUGGGGAAACCCGGCUGGGGUCAUGCCCAGUCACUCCGGUCUGAACACAUAGGACCGGUAGAGGGAACCGGCGGAACUGAAACAUCUAAGUACUCCGAGGAAGAGAAAGCAACAGCGAUUCCCUGAGUAGCGGCGAGCGAAACGGGAUCAGCCCAAACCUCUGCAGUGCAAUAGCCCGACGGCGUUGCUGCGGGGGGGUUGUGGGACCUGCUGGACGGUGCGUCGGCGCCGUCACAGAGUUACAAAGGCGAAGAUCAGCCGAACCCGGAUGGAAAGCCGGGCCGUAGAAGGUAACAGCCCUGUAGGCGAAGGCCUUCGCUCUCUGAGCGGUGUUCCCAAGUAUCACGGAGGAUAUUCCGUGUGAAUCUGCGAGAACCACCUCGUAAGGCUAAACACUUCCUGGCGACCGAUAGUGAACUAGUACCGUGAGGGAAAGGUGAAAAGCACCCCGGUGAGGGGAGUGAAAUAGUACCUGAAACCGUUGACCUACAAGCAGUGGGAGGAGUUCUCUUUUGAGAGCUCUGACCGCCUGCCUUUUGAAGAAUGAGCCGGCGAGUUAGCGGUAUGUGGCGAGGUUAAGGUAGUUGUACCGGAGCCGAAGCGAAAGCGAGUCUGAACAGGGCGAUUCAGUCGCAUGCCCUAGACCCGAAUCCGGGCGAUCUAUCCAUGGGCAGGGUGAAGCGAAGGUAAGACUUCGUGGAGGCCCGAACCCACCAAGGUUGAAAACUUGGGGGAUGACCUGUGGAUAGGGGUGAAAGGCCAAUCAAGCCCGGUGAUAGCUGGUUCUCCCCGAAAUAGCUUUAGGGCUAGCGUUGCGCGUUUCGCAAUGGGGGUAGAGCACUGAUUGAACUAGGGGGCCCACAAGCCUACCAACUUCAGUCAAACUCCGAAUCUCAUUGCGUUAGAGCGUGGCAGUCAGUCUACGUGGGAUGAGCUUCGUGGACGCAAGGGAAACAGCCCAGAUCGCCAGCUAAGGUCCCUAAGUCUGAGCUAAGUGGGAAACGAUGUGGAGUUGCACAAACAGCCAGGAGGUUGGCUUAGAAGCAGCCAUCCUUUAAAGAAAGCGUAACAGCUNNNNNNNNNNACCGAAGCUGCGGCUCGAUACUUUCUUCGGAUCGUAUCGGGGGUAGGGGAGCGUCGUGUCGACAUAGAAGCGUCGCCGUGAGGAGGCGUGGAGACGGCACGAGUGAGAAUGCCGGUAUGAGUAGCGAAAGAAGAGUGAGAAUCUCUUCCGCCGAAUGUCCAAGGGUUCCUGGGGAAGGUUCGUCCGCCCAGGGUUAGUCGGGACCUAAGGCGAGGCCGCAAGGCGUAGUCGAUGGACAACGGGUUGAUAUUCCCGUACCGCUCUGUGCGCGCCCGACCAAGACCGGUCAUGCUAAGACCGCAUCUUCGGAUGGGGUCGAACCAGACCGGAGGAGGUCAGCAACGGGGUGACGUGGAAGGGUAAGCGGACCCGGGCGUUGGUUGUUCCCGGGGUAAACGUGUAGGGUGCGGCCCAGGUAAAUCCGGGCCGCUCAAAAGCCCGAGGCGUGAUGCCGAUCCGCCUUAAGGAGAAGCCGCUGAACGCCCAUGCCACCGAGAAAAACCUCUAGCGAGUGCACAGUGCGCCCGUACCCCAAACCGACACAGGUGGACAGGUAGAGAAUACCAAGGCGAGCGAGUUAACCCUGGUUAAGGAAUUCGGCAAAUUGGCUCCGUAACUUCGGGAGAAGGAGCGCCCCGGUAAAGUGUAGGAGUUUUCCUCCGAAGCUUGAGGGGGCCGCAGUGACCAGGCCCAAACGACUGCUUACUAAAAGCACAGCAGCGUGCAAAGUCGCAAGACGACGUAUACGCUGUGACGCCUGCCCGGUGCCGGAAGGUUAAGAGGAGGUGUUAGCCCUCGGGCGAAGCUCUGAAUUGAAGCCCCGGUAAACGGCGGCCGUAACUAUAACGGUCCUAAGGUUGAAGUUCGCAGCCUUAGUAAAACUGAACCAUAUGCGGGAAACUCCUCGUACAGCAGUCCGGUACUCGUCCACCCGUGGGUGGGCAGUAAAAAUCCGGCUGACAUGGGGACAAUCCGCAGGGAAGGUCCAAUCUGUAAUGGAAACCCUCAGAGACUUGACGUUCAGGAUUGAUCGAUGAAGCUUGACAGUCAGUGGAUCACAGGAUUCGUGGACGGUGAAGGAUGCUUCCACGUCGGGAUAAACCCACAUCCCGACAUGAAGACCGGUUUUCAGGUUCUGCCUGAAUUCGCCGUUGUACAGCACGAACGCGAUGUGCAGGUGUUGCACGCUAUGAAAAGCCACUUCGGGUGCGGCGUGGUUCGCAGCAACCACGGCGACCGGAUGGCCUAUCGGGUGCGCAGCAUCGAGCAUUUGCUCGGUCGCAUCGUUCCAUUCUUUGUCAAGCACCCGCUGAAGACCAGAAAGCGGAUCGCGUUCGAGAAGUUUCGGCGCGUUCUGCUGCUGAUGGAAGCGGGCGAGCAUCUGACCGACGAAGGCGUUGAUCGGAUACGCCAGAUCGCCGGCCAGAUGAAUAGAGGUCAAUCAAGGUAAAGUCCGGCCCGCUUGGAAACAGGUGGGAUCAUCCGAGCGAAAUUCCUUGUCGGGUAAGUUCCGACCUGCACGAAUGGCGCAACGAUUUGGGCACUGUCUCAACCAGGGACUCGGCGAAAUUGCAAUGUGAGUAAAGAUGCUCACUACCUGCGGCAGGACGGUAAGACCCCGGAACCUUUACUGUAGCUUGGCAUUGGAGUCUGGCGUGUAAUGUGCAGGAUAGGUGGGAGACUAGGAAGCGGAGGCGCAAGCCUCCGUGGAGUCAACCUUGGAAUACCACCCUUUGUACGACGGGCUUCUAACCCGGGUCCGUAAUCCGGAUCGGGGACAGUGUCUGGCGGUCAGUUUCACUGGGGCGGUGGCCUCCUAAAGCGUAACGGAGGCGCCCAAAGGUUCCCUCAGUCUGGUCGGCAAUCAGACGACGAGUGUAAAGGCACAAGGGAGCUUGACUGUGAGACCUACAAGUCAAACAGGGACGAAAGUCGGGCUUAGUGAUCCCAUGGUGGCACGUGGGUGCGCCAUGGCUCAUCGGCUAAAAGGUACUCCGGGGAUAACAGGCUAAUCACGCCCAAGAGUCCAUAUCGACGGCGUGGUUUGGCACCUCGAUGUCGGCUCGUCGCAUCCUGGGGCUGGAGCAGGUCCCAAGGGUCGGGCUGUUCGCCCGUUAAAGCGGCACGCGAGCUGGGUUUAGAACGUCGUGAGACAGUUCGGUCCCUAUCCGCCGCAGGCGCAGGAGACUUGAGGGGAGCUGUCCCUAGUACGAGAGGACCGGGAUGGACGUACCUCUGGUGUGCCAGUUGUUCUGCCAAGAGCACGGCUGGUUAGCUACGUACGGACGGGAUAAGCGCUGAAGGCAUCUAAGUGCGAAGCCCACCCCAAGAUGAGGUCUCCCACGGGUAUUACCCGGUAAGGCCCCUGGCAGAACACCAGGUUGAUAGGCCGGAAGUGUAAGCGCAGCAAUGUGUUCAGCUGACCGGUACUAAUAGGCCGAGGGCUUGGACA